rnacentral:lncRNA from 1 species
UUAAAGAUAAGGGUAGAAUGAAAUAGAAUUAAAAAUAAUGGAUUAUAAUAAGGUUAUAGCCCAAUUAUUUUGAAUAGAGUCCAAGAGAAGUGGAUUUAAUGGGCUAAGGAGGUUAUAUUAUUUAAACAAGCCCAAUUAAUUAAUUAAGCAUGAGAACUUGUAGAUAAAUGAUUAAGGAUGAUUAAAUUAUUUAAUCUAGCCCAACAUAUUAUGUACGUGACAAGUAUUAUAAUGACGU